rnacentral:rRNA from 1 species
AGAUUGAACGCUGGCGGCAUGCCUUACACAUGCAAGUCGAACGGUAGAGUAGCAAUACUUGAGAGUGGCGAACGGGUGAGUAAUAUAUCGGAACGUGCCCAGUCGUGGGGGGAUAACGUAGAGAAAUUUACGCUAAUACCGCAUACGAUCUAAGGAUGAAGGCGGGGGACCGUAAGGCCUCGCGCGAUUGGAGCGGCUGAUAUCAGAUUAGGUUGUUGGUGAGGUAAAAGCUCACCAAGCCGACGAUCUGUAGCUGGUUUGAGAGAACGACCAGCCACACUGGGACUGAGACACGGCCCAGACUCCGUACGGGAGGCAGCAGUGGGGAAUUUGGACAAUGGGCGAAAGCCUGAUCCAGCAAUGCCGCGUGCGAGGAAGAAGGCCUUCGGGUUGUAAACGUGCUUUUGUACGGAACGAACGGUCUGCUUUAAUACAGUGGCUAAGUGACGGUACCGUAAGAAUAAGCAACCGGACUAACGUACGUCG